rnacentral:rRNA from 1 species
CGAACGGGUGAGUAACGCGUAGGCAACCUGCCCUGAGGAGGAGGAUAACCCUGCGAAAGCGGGGCUAAUCCUCCAUAUGUUAGGGGAUGAAGAACAUCCCUUAAUGAAAGGCGGCUUUAAGCCGUCGUCUCAGGAUGGGCCUGCGUCGGAUUAGCUGGCUGGUGAGGUAACGGCUCACCAGGGCGACAAUCCGUAGCUGGUCUGAGAGGACGAUCAGCCACACUGGGACUGAGACACGGCCCAGACUCCUACGGGAGGCAGCAGUGGGGAAUCUUCCGCAAUGGGCGCAAGCCUGACGGAGCGACGCCGCGUGGGUGAAGAAGGCCUUCGGGUCGUAAAGCCCUGUCAGUGGGGAAGAAAGCGAUCAUCAAGAAAAGGGUGAUCGUUGACGGUACCCGUUGAGGAAGCCCUGGCCAACUACGUGCCAGCAGCCGCGGUAACACGUAGAGGGCAAGCGUUGUCCGGAAUUACUGGGCGUAAAGGGCGCGCAGGCGGUAAGGCAAGUCGGGUGUGAAAACCUGGGGCUUAACCCCAGGCGUGCAUUCGAAACUGUCUUGCUUGAGGACAGCAGAGGGAAACGGAAUUCCUGGUGUAGUGGUGAAAUACGUAGAUAUCAGGAGGAACACCAGUGGCGAAAGCGGUUUCCUGGGCUGUUCCUGACGCUGAGGCGCGAAAGCCGGGGGAGCAAACGGGAUUAGAUACCCCGGUAGUCCCGGCUGUAAACGCUGGACACUAGGUGUUGGGGGUUAAACUCCCUCAGUGCCGCAGUUAACGCACUAAGUGUCCCGCCUGGGAAUUACGGUCGCAAGACUGAAACUCAAAGGAAUUGACGGGGGCCCGCACAAGCGGUGGAGCAUGUGGCUUAAUUCAAUGCAACGUGGAAAACCUUACC